CCCUUAGAUGUCCUGGGCCGCACGCGCGUUACACUGAUGCAUUCAACGAGCUUAUAGCCUUGGCCGAGAGGCCUGGGCAAUCUUGUUAACGUGCAUCGUGAUAGGGAUAGAUUAUUGAAAUUAUUAAUCUUGAACGAGGAAUUCCUAGUAACCGCAGAUCAUCAAUCUGCAUUGAUUACGUCCCUGCCCUUUGUACACACCGCCCGUCACACCUACCGAUUGGAUGGUCCGGUGAAGCCUCGGGAUUGUGGUUCUUGCCGCUUUAUUGUGGCGUGACCGCGAGAACUUGUCUAAACCUUAUCAUCUAGAGGAAGGUGAAGUCGUAACA
rnacentral:rRNA from 1 species